CUGGCAAUAGUUCAAUUGGUAAAGCGGGAAACUAUAGUGAAUGCACUGUUCAACGUUGACACCUCUAGGUCGCUAGUUCAAAUCUGGCUUGCCGGA